rnacentral:rRNA from 1 species
GGGGAAUCUUGCGCAAUGGGCGAAAGCCUGACGCAGCGACGCCGCGUGAGUGAUGAAGGCCUUCGGGUUGUAAAGCUCUGUGGGGAGAGACGAAUAAGUAGAAGCGAACACCUUCUAUGAUGACGGUAUCUCCUUAGCAAGCACCGGCUAACUCUGUGCCAGCAGCCGCGGUAAGACAGAGGGUGCAAACGUUGUUCGGAAUUACUGGGCGUAAAGCGAGUGUAGGCGGUCUCGUAAGUCGGAUGUGAAAGCCCUGGGCUCAACCCAGGAAGUGCACUCGAAACUGCGAGGCUAGAGUACUGGAGAGGUUGGUGGAAUUCUCGGUGUAGAGGUGAAAUUCGUAGAUAUCGAGAGGAACACCGGUGGCGAAGGCGGCCAACUGGACAGAUACUGACGCUGAGACUCGAAAGCGUGGGGAGCAAA